rnacentral:lncRNA from 1 species
UCCAUUUCACAAAAAAAGAGGAAAACCACAAAAAUGGGUAGCUCUCUGAUCUCUCUUCUCCCAAUCUUCCACUUGUUGGUGUUAUUAGGAUCCUCAGUAAAUGCUUAUUGGCCACCAUCACCUGGUUACUGGCCAAGCUCCAAGGUUGUUUCCUUGAGCUUCUACAAAGGUUUUAGGAAUCUCUGGGGUCCUCAGCAUCAGAGAAUGGACCACAAUGCUCUUACCAUCUGGCUUGAUAGAGUCUCAGGUACUAACAAUUCAACUCUGCUUUUCAUUUUCUCAAAUGUGUAUUUCAAAUUUGAUUUGAAGCUUAUAUGGCUUUCUAUUGAUAAUGUACUUGGUGUGUGUGUAUAUAUAUAGGAAGUGGAUUCAAGUCAGUGAAGCCAUUCAGAUCAGGUUACUUUGGAGCAUCCAUCAAACUCCAACCUGGAUACACUGCUGGAGUCAUCACAUCUCUCUAUGUGAGAGCUAGACUCUCUUAAUUAGGACUUAUAACUACAUUUAAUUUGAUCUUAACUAAAAUUAAUCAAAUCAAAUUUGUGCAGCUAUCAAAUAAUGAGGCACAUCCAGGCUUCCAUGAUGAAGUGGACAUAGAAUUUUUGGGGACAACAUUUGGAAAACCAUACACACUUCAGACAAAUGUUUACAUUAGGGGAAGUGGUGAUGGCAGAAUCAUUGGUCGUGAAAUGAAGUAUCGCUUGUGGUUUGAUCCCACUUCAGGUUUUCACCAUUAUGCUAUUCUUUGGAACCCUAGAGAAAUCAUGUAAGCCAUCUUCCACUUAAUUAUCUCAUAAAAAUACUUUUUAGGUUCUUAAGAGAGAAAGCUAUGAACUUUAUUUUCCUGGCCUCGCACCUAGGUGGAUGAAUCUAGUCGAGCCAUAUAGUAAACUAAAAAGUUAACUUUUAUUAUAAAUUCAAAAUAGUUUCCGUAGGGUUUCAUUAUUCGGGCAAGGACAGUUGCAGGUAGAGACAAACAAGACAGAGACAAUGACCGUACGACGUUGGACAAUCAUACUUGAUUUCUUGUUGUUGUUUAGAAAUAAUUAUUGAUAUUCUCAUGUCAUUCGUGUUUGGGUCUAACCAUAGUGCCAGCUUUACUAAUUCUUCUAAUUAAGUGUGAGUCCUGGUGCGACCACAUCGAUGGGACAGACACCAUAUAUAUUAGAGAAUUUUGAUUUAUUUUGUAUUAAAUCUCACAGUUUUAUUAUUUUAUAUGAAUGUUACUAUACAACAUACAUAUUUUCCUAUCUGAAAAUAUUUAUUUUUAAAAAUUUAAAUUUGAAAGUGGUAUAAUAUUUAUGGUAAAACUGAAAUUUCCUCUUUCAAAUAUUAUAAGAAAUAUAACAAGCCUGCUAAAUUCAAAAUAAUAUAUUUGAUGUGUUCCAUCAUAAAAAUUAAUUUACCACUGUCUCUGUAUUUUCCAGAAUAUAUAUAUAAUCUCAUAAAAUAGAAUAAAAUAAAAUAAAAGAAUUGCAACUUGAAAAAAUUUGAGAAAAAUUUGGACAUUCAUUUUCAACUCGAUUUUAGUGUUCAUAUUGAAUCUGAGUUCACUGCAUUUUAAAUAUGUGUAGAAUUAUAAGUUAAUUUUGGAUCCCAGCUGUUAUGGUCAGUUUCGUUCUAAAUAUUUUGUACUUAAAAAUACUAAAGCGUAAAUAUCAUCUCUAUUUUUCUAUCCAAGAUCCAUAAAUUUAUUCAAAACUAAAAAAAUAACAAUAAAUAAACUAAAAAAAAAUUAAUUAAAUAUUUUAAAAUUUAGAUUUAAAUUUUAUUCAACUUAAAAAUAUUAAAAUAUGAAAUUUAUAAAUAAUAAUUCGUUACAGCUAAGUAAUAAAUGAAACAUUGAAAAGUGAACACCUUAGUUAUGGAGCUUUAAGAUUGGAAGUAGGAUUAUUCAAGUCGGUUCUUAUCUUCUUCUUUUAUUUUGAACACCCAAACAUUAUAUUAAAUUAAAUACUAAACGGGUUUAAGAGGAUCACCAAUGGUUAUCCUCAUUUUUUCCCUUAUAAUGAAGUAAACUCAAAAUGAGUUUAUAUUUUGCUCCAAUGGUUCUCUUGAUUUUCCUCUCAGAAAAUAGUUUCAAAUAUAUUAUACUAUUACUACUUACUACUCUCUCCGUUCCAAAAAUACAUGUUCUAGAAAAAAAUGGUUUCAAAAAGAUACAUUUUAAAAAAUUUCCAACUAAUAAUAGCUAAUCGUAAACUUCAAGAAAACUAAUUGCAUUUUCUGGAUUUUUAUUGGUUUAAGACUAUAGGAAAUUAAUAAUAAAAAAAAAUAUGAAACAGAUGGAGUAUUAAUUUUAUAAUAAUUGUUAUUUUUUUUAUAAAACUUACGAUUUUACCCAAAUAUGAUUUUAUUUUAAUUAAAUAUUCUUUAUAGUUUAGUUUUCAUUUAAAUAUACACGGAUUUAUACAAACUUAUAAUUAUAUUAUGAAAGUAUUAAUAAUUUCUUUAAAGUAUAAAGCAAAUAUUGAAUUUUUUAGAUAUAAUAAAUUAUAUAAAAAUUUAAAAACUAAUUUAUAAAUAAAAAAGUUUAUCACAAAAUGAAAAAAAAAAUUGAGGGAAUACUAUUUACAAACUCAUUUUCCCUUCAAAAUGAUGCACAAUUGAAAAGGUUUUUCUUUAUUUUCUUAUCUUUUUCCUCAAAAUAAGUUACUAUCGGAGAUGGUCUAAACUGUUACAUUUGAAAUGCUUCUUAUCAAGUUCUGAUUUUAUGUGUAGAAUUUUUUUGACAUUUUGAUCGCUUUUGUUUUGUUUUUUUUUGUCUGUUCCGAUUCACGUUUUAGAAUCGGGGUAAAAUGUCCAUGAAAAAGUUGAUCAGAUAAGCUUACCUCUUAUACGAGUAUAUAAUAAAUGUAUGUGAAUUACAUAUUCAUUGAAUGUAUUUAGUUUCACUGUUUUUUUUUUUUAGCUUACCAAUUUAUUUACCAUCUAGCAUUUCCUUGGCCCUAUCAUAAUAAUGUUCUUAUUUCCAUCAAGUACGAUGUAACUUAAAGGAACAAACAAAAGAAAAUUGGUAAAGCUCAAUAUUCGAUUAAUCAUUACAAUUAUACAUAUUCCGGUUAACACAUUUUGUCAUUUCUCUAAGCCCUAACACAGUCUCGGUUAGUAGUUUCUUUCAAUCAACAAUUUUUUCUCAUUUGCCAUUAGUUUAAUAGCUUUAACAACUUCACUUCAUCUUGUAAUAUAUUACAAUCAUAGCGAAAGAAGAAGAAAAAUAGAGAGAAAAUAUAAGGCUGGUGGUAGAUUUUGAAGAUUAUGAGACGCAGCGGUAUCUGCUUAUGGUUGUAGUAGGCCAUGGCAACCAGUUUUGAAACCACUUGUCCUUGUAUCAGUCAAUUUUGUGUGAAUGAGAUCUUAACCUAAGAUUUUCCAUAAAUUGAUUGCAUGUAAGUAUAUCACACGAGAGCAACGUAAUAAUGCUACUGAGGUUUUAUAUUUUUAGACUGUUUAAGUCUUUAAGAGUUUAGGUGAGUGGACCACCCUCUUCAUUAUGAAUUUUUGUGAGUGGGUCCAAAUAGUGAAUCUCAUUUCCAUCAUAAACAAUUAUAAGAGCAUCUCCGAAAUGAACUCUAUUUUGAAGUUUCUAAAAUUCUAUAUUUGAAGUUUAAAAGUGUUCUUCUCCAAAAGCAAAAUUUUAAACUCAACUUUAAAACUAUUUAUAUUUUAUAAUAUUAUCCUUAUAUAUAUAUUUUUUUUUUUAUAACCAUAGUGUGAUCCCAAAGGCUUUCUAGACCCAAAAACUAAUCACUACGAGGCCAACAGGAUCCGCGUUUUCACUUAAGGCAAAAAAUUUGAAUUCAUAAAAAUUUUGUAAAUAACUAGCACAUAUAUAAACAUAUUACAACAAUAUUAAUUAAUAAAAUUUUAUAUUAAAAUAUUAAAUUUUAAACAAAAUAACUUAAUUAAUAUUAAACUUCAAUCAAAAUACCAUAUUAUUCUAUAAAGUGAUUUUCAUAAUGCAUAUAUGAUCUACUAGUGCAUUUUGAAGUAAAAAUGGCUAUCCUCAUUUUUAAUUUGUAGAUUAGAGAUAAAAAAAUUGAAAUUGGGUGAUAAUAAUACUUGUAAAUACAUUAGAUAAGAAUAAGAAAGUAAAAGAUAAACAUAAAAUAUUGCUAAAAGAAUAAUUUUUAUUGAUGAUAUUAAUACUCGUGAAUAUAUCCAUAUAAACAAAAAAGAAUUGUACGAAAAUACAUCAUCAACAACAACAACAACAACAACCAUAUUCAGUUAUACAAAAAAAUUGGACAAUAUUUAGAAAUUUUGAAGGUUCCAGUUCAAAAUUACCUGACUAUUAGUGUUGUUGUAAUAUUUAAAUUUGUGUAAUAGUUAUGUCUUCAUGUAAUUUUUUUAAAGCUUUUUGUUAGGUUUUUGUAUAUUUUUGUUAUCUAAAUCUAGUUUUAAAUAUUUUAAAUAUUAUUUAAAAGUUUUAUUUAAUUUUAUGUAUAAACUUAAAUUUUGUAAACAAAAUUUAAAAUAUUUAUGAGACAUAAUUUUUAUAAGGAUUAAAACAAUAAACAAGAAAAUAUUUAUGAAUCAUAAAUGUGAUUUGUUAUUAUAGGGAUGAAAAUGCAAAUAAAAAUAUGAAACUUCAAAUUUGAAGUUUUGAGUAGUGAAACUUCAAAUAUAGAGUUUCACUUCUCAAAACUUCAAAUUUGAAGUUUUGAAGUUCUUUUUUGGAGAGCAAAACACUUCAUAUUUGAAGUUAUAGAGUGUCUUUUGGAGAUGAUCUAAUAUAUGCCAAACUCAUGUCCAUCCAUCCCCACACCAUCUCUCUCUCUCUGCAUUUAUAUACUCCAUUCUUCUUCUCUCCAUUUCACAAAAAAGAGGAAAACCACAAAAAUGGGUAGCUCUCUGAUCUCUCUUCUCCCAAUCUUCCACUUGUUGGUGUUAUUAGGAUCCUCAGUAAAUGCUUAUUGGCCACCAUCACCUGGUUACUGGCCAAGCUCCAAGGUUGUUCCCUUGAGCUUCUACAAAGGUUUUAGGAAUCUUUGGGGUCCUCAGCAUCAGAGAAUGGACCACAAUGCUCUUACCAUCUGGCUUGAUAGAGUCUCA